GCAGCUGUGGCCGAGUGGUUAAGGCGAUGGACUUGAAAUCCAUUGAGGUCUCUCCCAUGAGUUCGAAUCCUGCCGGCUGCG